rnacentral:rRNA from 1 species
AUGUAUGCCGGUUCCAACCCCACCUUGGAGAUGAGAAACUCGGACCUGCGCUGCAGCAUACCACCUAAAUGUCUUCUUCAAGAACUCCAAUUUGGCGGCAAUCUUCUUCUUGUCGGAAAAUGCGACAGCUUGAAGCGCUUGCCUAAACAUCCCAGAUCGACGGAGCACACCGAGACCUUUGGCGCACGCCACCAUGGCAUGAACUCGCUUCGGGCCACUACUGAGCAGCCAUGGCACGACGAGGCAUAGCUUGGCAAUAUCGCAAGCACCUAG